rnacentral:tRNA from 1 species
GGGUCGGUGACAGAGCGGUCAAUUGUACCAGACUGUAAAUCUGGCGCCCUUGCGGCUACGCAGGUUCGAAUCCUGCCCGGCCCACCA